rnacentral:rRNA from 1 species
UACGAAGGGGGCUAGCGUUGCUCGGAAUGACUGGGCGUAAAGGGCGCGUAGGCGGUCUGCCAAGUCUGGGGUGAAAUCCUCCGGCUCAACCGGAGAACGGCCUCGGAUACUGGCGGUCUCGAGGGAGGUAGGGGCGUGCGGAACUAAGGGUGGAGCGGUGAAAUGCGUUGAUAUCCUUAGGAACUCCGGUGGCGAAGGCGGCACGCUGGACCUCUUCUGACGCUGAGGCGCGAAAGCCAGGGGAGCAAACGGG